UCAGUAAUGAAAUUGAAAUAAUUUUAUAAAAAGUAAAUUAAAAAUAAAAAGUAAAGUUAAACUUUUUAUAUUGAAUGAUGAAUUUGAAAUAAAAGGAAAAAAGAAUCUAAUGAAUAGUGUCUUGUACAAAGCAUAGUUUUUAAAACCGAUCCGAUCUAAGACCCGGGUUUCUGGUGUUGACCGGGUUCCGGGUUUUGACCGGGUCACCGGGUCGGCUGGGUCAAUUCCUAUUUUAAAAAAAAUUCAAAACGGCGUCGUUUUAGCAAAACAAAAACAAAAGUCAACGGGUUGCAAUCAGGUUUUUGAUCAAAUUUUACCAGGUCAACCGGGUCAUUACUUUUUCUAUUUUUGUAUCAACCCGACCUGGUUUUAUUCCCGAGUCAUCCUGGUCCCGAGAGACCUAUCGCACAAAGAGUAAUUUAGUCGAAUGAAAUCAUUCUUCCUAAAAUCCUGCACUAAGAUGGAAGGUAGGCGAAGGAGCUGUUUUCAACAAGUCAAUGGUUGGGUUCUGUAAAGACAGAAGAUCCCCAAAUAUUCGCGAGACCCAUGACUUUUCUAAACUAGCUGUCAAGAGCAGUGGAUGAAGCACCGCCUCUAGCACCACGACGAAAACCCAGUUCCCAUGCAAGUUCCAGACCUCCGUGCAUUACAACGCACCGCCUAUAAUUCUUAUUUUAUAUCUUCGAUACCCUAUCAAGUGUCGAGGAUCACACGCCCAUAUCAACGGUUUCCUUCUCCGAUCCUGUCUCUCUUUUUUUCCCAUGGCCACCGAAGGCUCUUCAAAUCUUCUCCCUUUCAAUACUCUUGUUCAUAUGAUCACCCUCCACAAAUUAUCUUAUAUGGCAUGGUCAGAUUCUUCCCCUCAUUGAAAGCCAAGAUCUUAUUGGUCAUAUUGAUGGUUCCAAUGUCCUAACUUCAAAAUUUAACCCUGCUACUUUUCAGACACCAAAUGACAAAUACCUGGCGUGGAGGGCUGCUGACCAACGUCUCCUUUGUCUUCUUUUCUUCUCUCACUGAAGAAUCUUUUGCUGAAAUUGUUGGCCUCUAUACUACACGAGAGGUCUGGCUUGCCUUAGAGACCGCUUUCAAUCAUCGGUCCAAGGCCCCUAAGAUUCAUCUCAAAGAUGAACUCCAGUUAAUGAAAAGAGGUUCCAGCCCGUGACUGACUUUGCUCGUGCCUUCAAAAGCCUCUACGAUCAGUUUCAUGCCAUUGGUCGUCCUGUUGAUGACACGAACAAAGUGCACUGGUUCCUCUGUGGCCUCGGUGCGAUUUCUCCAGUUUCUCCUCUAACUAGAAUACACUCACUCACUUGCCCAUAUUUGCUGAUCUUGUUUCCAAAGCUGAAAGUUUUGAGAUUUUUCAGAGGUCCCUUAAGCCUACAGCACCUCCUUCUGCUGCCUUCACAGCCACUCCCCGCGUGUCCAACCGCCCAAACCAGCGGAAUCCUUCCCGCUUUAACCCUGGCCAAUCCUCCUGCUAUGGCCGCACUAACUUCUCUCCUGGUCGUCUUCCUCGCUGUCAAAUCUAUCGAUCGUGAUGAAGGUCACUACGCUGAUCAGUCCCCCCAGCGCUACAACCGUGGUGACUCUGCUGCCCAUCUUGCUGAAGCAUUCACUGGGUCUUGUUCUCUCAAUGACCCUCCGACCUCUGAUUGGUUUUUAGACACUAGAGCUUAAGCUCACAUGUCUAAUGCUCCCUCAUUGGAUCUACCCGUGCCAUAUGUUGGUAAGGACUCUGUAAUUGUGGGAAAUGGUGCAUCUUUAACUAUCACACAUACAGGUUGCCUUUUCCCUACUCCAAAACUUCAUUUAUACAUCUCACCAAAGAUUUACUUUCCAUUAGUAAAUUAACAUCUGAUUUUCCAGUGGUUGUUACUUUUAUUAAUAAUCGUUUUUUAUUCAGAAUCGUCAAACAAGAAGGAAGGGUGGUAGCAACCGGUAAGAUGGAUGACGACUUAAUAUGUGCUAGGGCGUGGCAACUUGGCCUUUAUUUCCGUUCUCAAAAAUAAACAAUAACAUGCUUCCUAUGAUUUAUGGCAUACUCGCAUUGGACAUGUAAUUAAUUAUGUUAUUUAUUCUUCAAAUAAAAAAAAAAGGCCAUCUUUAUCUUUCACCUCUUUACAAGCUUCUCCUCACUUAUGCAGCUCCUACUUGUGAAAAACCAUCGCUUGUCAUGUCCAUGUAAUGAACGUCCCUCUUCGCCCACUUCGGUCUCUGGUCCACUUUCUCCCAUGGCACUGUCGGGUCCUGUUGUGGCACAGACGGUCCCUCCUAUUUCUAUCACCUCCAAUCUGAUCAGUUAUCAUCCCAUGCUCACACGUGCUAAGGCUGGUAUUUUGAAGAGUCGCCACCCCGCAAAUCUUGGUGUCUUCAGCUCCACUGGCCUUCUUUCGACAUUUCUUGCCUCUGCUAAGCUUAAGGGCUUCAAAUCUACUGCUAAGAAUCUUGCCUGGCUUGCCACCAUGAAUGAAGAAAUUCGAGAUCUGUAGCAUAACAGCAUCUGGGUUUUGGUCCCUUGCCCUGCCAACACCAACAUUGGGGGCUCCAAAUGGAUGUUUUGAACCAAAUAUUUUUCUGAUGGCUCUAUCGAGAGACUCAAGGCUCAUCUUGUUGCCAAGGGUUACACUGAUAUCCCUGGUCUCGACUAUACUGAUACUUUUAGUCUUAUUAUUAAGGCUAUUAUUGUUCGUGUUGUACUUUCUCUGACCAACUAGUGGCCCCUUGACUAAUCCAACAUCAAAAAUGCUUUUCUCAAUAGCAUUUUUAGUGAAAAUAUCUAUAUGGAGCAAUCUCCUAGCUACAUUGAUCAUCGUUUCCUUAAUCAUGUUUGCCAAUUGAAGUAAUCUCUAUAUGGUUUCAAACAGGCUCCUCGUGCCUAGUUUCAGCAUUGCCGUUCUUUUCUUCUUCAA